CCUACGGUCGGCAGCAGUGGGGAAUAUUGGACAAUGGGGGCAACCCUGAUCCAGCCAUGCCGCGUGUGUGAAGAAGGCCCUCGGGUUGUAAAGCACUUUCAGUGAGGAAGAACGCCUGGUGGUUAAUACCCAUCAGGAAAGACAUCACUCACAGAAGAAGCACCGGCUAACUCCGUGCCAGCAGCCGCGGUAAUACGGAGGGUGCGAGCGUUAAUCGGAAUUACUGGGCGUAAAGCGCGCGUAGGUGGCUUGAUAAGCCGGUUGUGAAAGCCCCGGGCUCAACCUGGGAACGGCAUCCGGAACUGUCAAGCUAGAGUGCAGGAGAGGAAGGUAGAAUUCCCGGUGUAGCGGUGAAAUGCGUAGAGAUCGGGAGGAAUACCAGUGGCGAAGGCGGCCUUCUGGACUGACACUGACACUGAGGUGCGAAAGCGUGGGUAGCAAACAGGAUUAGAUACCCCAGUAGUC
rnacentral:rRNA from 1 species